UUAAACGUUCCUCUCUGCCAGCUCUGAAGAGAGCAAUGGAUCUCCCAGCACAGCGCUCAAGCCCUGCUAAGGGACACACUGCCUUCUCAACAUCUAGAAACUUCUUACUUCCACAUGAGGAAUACAAUGUCAUUUGUUGGAUUUUCACAUGACAACAAAAGAAAAUAAUAAACAAGACCUUGCUUGCAUGGAAAAUUCAUUGCCUAUUGUAGGAAAAGGCAGGGAUGUCAUUACACAGAGCAAAGAAAAUAACAGAGGUUAAUCAAUGUUACUGCUAGCUUGCUCUUAUAUAUACUUAUUUUCAUUUCUGAUGCUUUUUUCCUCUCAAGGGUAAAAAAACAAACAUCAAAUCUCUAUAAAUCUCUCAUGCAGGGCACCCAGCUUUCUGCAGCUCUGUCCUUCUUUGGUUUGUAAUCCACACUUUUGAAGCCCGUCUAAGUGCAUUCAUAGACAAGGCCAUCUCUCCCCUUGGCCUUUGACUGUGGGGCAGGGUGUAAAAAGUGGGAGGUGGGUUAUAUGCUUCUAGUUGGGUAAAUGCUAAGCGUUUUUAUGUGGGUUGCAUUUUAUUUUCGCUUUCUAACAACAUAAUUGAACAUUCAGAAAGGGUGAGUAACUUUCCAAAAGUUUCACAGAUACUGAAAGAUAAGUCAGGGUUCAUACUUUGGUCUGUCUGAUCACAAGCCAGACUAAGAUUUGAACUUCUCUGAGACUGUUUCCUCAAAUUUAAAAUCAGAAUCAUGUUAUCUAAUUCACUGGCUGAACCAAGCUCAUUCCUCACCCAUUUUUUAUUGGUACUUCUUAAAGAAUGUGGUCCUCACUCUCUAGGUUCCAUGUUUUGAGCAUAAAAUUCCUAUCCCUGUACCCCAGGCAGAGAGGACUGGACCAGGCUUGGACCUCUGACCUACAAGAUCCAAGGCAUUAGGUUUUCCUGGUUCAUCACCUCCUUCAAUUGUAGAUGCUGCAGAUGCUGCCCUCUCUGUAGAGGUUUAAGUAAACAGGAAAGAAUGUUUAAUGAAAAUAAGGGGAACAAAGAAACUAUGUGGAGUAAAAGCAGAGAUGACACAUCAGGAGGCCACAAAUGAACAAUAAGUGAAACAUUAGUUCCUGGACCUCAAACCU
rnacentral:lncRNA from 1 species